rnacentral:rRNA from 1 species
UACGUAGGGGGCUAGCGUUGUCCGGAAUCAUUGGGCGUAAAGAGCGUGUAGGCGGCCCGGUAAGUCCGCUGUGAAAGUCAAAGGCUCAACCUUUGAAUGUCAGCGGAUACUGCCGGGCUAGAGUCCGGAAGAGGCGAGUGGAACUCCUGGUGUAGCGGUGGAAUGCGCAGAUAUCAGGAAGAACACCGGUGGCGAAGGCGGGUCUCUGGGCAGUAACUGACGCUGAGGAGCGAAAGCGUGGGGAGCGAACAGG